GACGAACGCUGGCGGCGUGCUUAACACAUGCAAGUCGAACGGAAAGGCCCUGCUUUUGUGGGGUGCUCGAGUGGCGAACGGGUGAGUAACACGUGAGUAACCUGCCCUUGACUUUGGGAUAACUUCAGGAAACUGGGGCUAAUACCGGAUAGGAGCUCCUGCUGCAUGGUGGGGGUUGGAAAGUUUCGGCGGUGGGGGAUGGACUCGCGGCUUAUCAGCUUGUUGGUGGGGUAGUGGCUUACCAAGGCUUUGACGGGUAGCCGGCCUGAGAGGGUGACCGGCCACAUUGGUACUGCGAUACGGCCCAGACUCCUACGGGAGGCAGCGGUGGGGAAUAUUGCACAAUGGGCGGAAGCCUGAUGCAGCAACGCCGCGUGCGGGAUGACGGCCUUCGGGUUGUAAACCGCUUUCGCCUGUGACGAAGCGUGCGUGACGGUAAUGGGUAAAGAAGCACCGGCUAACUACGUG
rnacentral:rRNA from 1 species